rnacentral:lncRNA from 1 species
CAUUGUUGAUUGAUUAAACCCUGUGUUCAGCUUGUUUGAUUUGACACUUCCUUACUUACUUUGUUAGCAAUUUGAUAUCCAUACAUUUGUUUCUUCUUCUAAAUGUGGUUCUUUCUUCUUUUUCCAAUCUGUUCUUUCUUCAAUCUUUUACAGAUUGGUGAGCUGAAAGAGCAAUGGAUGGAUUCAAACCUGUACUUUCCAGGAAGUUAACAAGUUAAGGUUCAAGGCUGUGUCCAAAAACAACAGGUUUGGUUUGAAAGCAGACCAGCCAGCUACUAACCAAAUCUUUACGAGAACCAAAAAGAAGCAACUCUAGUGCUACACGGGCAGUUUCUCUCCCCCUCUCGUCUCUCUGUGCCGAGGAUUCACCGGUGGACAGCGCUUGUUUGAGACUUUUAAUGACAGCGCAGCGGGAGAGAUCCGUCAUCUCCCAACCUAAACCAAAGCAACCCCCGCCGAGGAGGACAGACAGAGACAGAGAGCCGCUGCGAUCUUUACGCACAGCUGCGUGGACACGAUAAAUGGAGUCUAAUUGUGUCCGUGGAAGCAGCUGAACGAGGAGCUCCAACUGCACUAAAUCCACAUGAGGUGCGACGGCAGCAGAUAUCCUCCACUGUCCAGACACCUGCAGCCC